GUAGAUCACGAUUUAGCUCCGAAUUGGACGGGCUAUAUGCGGUCUGCUUUAGCCCACCUGGCGAAAUUAUUGCAAUCUGGGCUCAGAUAUAGACCAGCGACCUAGAAUAUUAGUCUUUGAAAUGUUUUCGCUUACACAGCUUAAUAUAUAUUUUCUGUCAAACAUUCAUACACAAUCUACGAUAAAAAUAUCUAAUCAAAUGCAAUUGCAUUUCCCAACCGCUAGAUGGCACAAUUGAAACACUACUGAGACAUGUCUACUGGAACUAAUGCCAUUGCGUGACUAGAUCACUUAAGCCAAAUCUCGCGAUAAACAUUUCCGCCAUUUUAUUUUACACGAGGCAGCUGUCGGAGUGCAACGGGUGAGCAACAGUCUGAGUGAAAACCUUCACAUUUCUACUUCGAUCUUAAGAAAGCCAUACAGGUUUGGAACCAAGUGAAAACGCAGUGAUGACCAGCUUUCAUCAGCUAUGGAAUGUGAAAUAAAAAAUGCUAUUUCUAAUCAUUUCAAACAAGCACCAGGGAGGGCAGGGGGUGGGGG